CAUCAGGUGAAGAUGUGCGUGAUUUCACCAAGGUGCUGAAAAAUAAGUUCAGAUCAAAGAAAUACUUUGCCAAACAUCCUCGCUUGGGUUAUUUACCAGUACAAACAGUUCCAGAAGGCGAGAACCUUGAGACGACACAAUCAUUGCCUUGGAAGCUUCAUCACCAUACUACAUUGCAUUUCUGCAGAGGGAAGAAGAAAUCAAUAUGCAAAUUCAAUUCCAUGUUUUUGGAAGUCCCAUUGAGAACACGAUUCAUUUGCGCAGGCAUAAUACUCUGACUGAGCAAGAAUUGAAGUUUCCACUUGGACAAAAGAUUCACAUCAAAUUGACUGGUCAAGGAAAUGGGACACUGACUGUGAGAAUGAGUUAUCCAGAUAGUAAGAACUGCCAAUGUUGGUGUCUGAAGUAACGCAUUGUGGAGCUGGAGGAACACAGCAGGGCAGGCAGCAUCAGAGGCUCAAGAAAGAACCAUACGAUUACACUAAUUUUGAUGAGGAAUUUAAAGAUGACGAGUCCCGUCCGUUUGACUCACAAUUUGGUAACAUAGGUUGGUACGAUCUUCGUUCGAGAAGGAAAAGGGAUGUUCCAGAUACAGACAAUCAUCAAACCAUUUACUACAAAGUCUA